AAGGACCUAGUUUGAAUAAUUAAAGCCCAAAAGGAAGAGCUUCUAUUUCUCCUGUGUCCUCCUGCAGGGAUUUUGAGCCCCAAGUCCAGGGCAGAUGCUUUGGACUGACUUCCCGCCCACGUUAGGGCAGCCUGCGUUUGGAAGGUGCUUGUGUAAUACAGAGAUUAUGCCAGGUUUUUCUGAGUUUCUUGCUGUAUGUGUGGAUUCCUGAUAUUGGAGAGAAAUCCCAGCCCAGUCAGGACUGAAAUGAUCGUCCUGAGCAUAACAUGCUUCAAGUUAGCUUUUGUUUGUAAAGGAGUCAAACGAGGAACAUCACGACACAGAAGCUGAGAAGACUGGGCGGCGCGUGCAGCUUCUCCGUCUGUCUUCUCCUCUCUGAUGGCGUCCGCAGGCUCUGCUAACACGCCGACAUCUCAUCGUAGGCUUGUGUUGAUAUCACUCAUGGUUUAUUCCUUCAACCAAUGUUUUUUGAGGGUCCACUAUGAGUGAGACACUAAACUACACUCAGAAUAAAGGAAAUAAAAUAGUACAAUUUCCCACCACCAACAGCUUGCAGUCUUACACAGGAAAGAGCCAGAUAAGCAAGGCAAUGCACAUUUCUGGGCCCAGAACAUUCUUCUUAUGGUUAUGAAUUCCUUUAUCUCACCUCAAAACCCUCAUUAUCCCUCAAACACUUUAUACUAGAGUGUACACCACUAAACUACUGUAUUUUAUAAUUCUCUACUACAAGUCGUGAUUGUAAUCCUUAGAAAUGUUCUGCUCUCAAUGAUCCAAUUUUGAUAUAUUUUCAAAGGUUGCAUUAUAAAAACUGUUCUAAAGAGAGGGGCUAUGAUUUUUUAGUCUGGAUUGUCUUAAGGCUUACAAGGACUGAAAAUUCAAAAACAAAUAUGACUGAAUAUAUGGUACAAAACUUAAAAAUCACUAGGAAAAGGUAGUAAAUAAAUGUAGUAAGUACAGUAAGUCCUGGGAAAAAUGUGAACUCAAAGGGAACGUGAUGGGUGAUUGGCUCUAUCUUCAUCACGGUCUCUGUUCUCAAAUGGAGGCUUCUGGAGGAGUAAAGGGAGGUGCAGGGGAGCCUAGGUUUUGGAUGGUGGGGAGAACAGUCAGUCAGCUCCCUCUUGGGAAGGGCAGGGGCAGAGCACAAGGCCCAGGGACCCUCAAUUCUACCCAACCCUUUUUUUUUUUUUUU